rnacentral:pre_miRNA from 1 species
AAGAUACUCCCUCCGUUUGAAAUUACUCGUCCAAAAAAUGAAUGUAUCUAGAUGUAUUUUAGUUGUAGAUACAUUCAUUUUUGUGACAAGUAAUUUCGAACUGAGGGAGUACUAA